rnacentral:rRNA from 1 species
CCUACGGGGGGCAGCAGUGAGGAAUUUUCGGCAAUGGGGGCAACUCUGAUGCAGCGACGCCGCGUGAGCGAUGAAGCCCUUCGGGGUGUAAAGCUCUUUCGACGGGAACGAUGAUGACGGUACCCGGAGAAGAAGCUGCGGCUAACUACGUGCCAGCAGCCGCGGUAAUACGUAGGCAGCAAGCGUUGUUCGGAAUUACUGGGCGUAAAGAGUGUGUAGGCGGUGCUCUAAGUUCGGUGUGAAAUCUCCUGGCUUAACUGGGAGGGUGCGCCGGAAACUGGAGUGCUCGAGCGUGGGAGAGGAAAGCGGAAUUCCUGGUGUAGCGGUGAAAUGCGUAGAUAUCAGGAGGAACACCUGUGGUGUAGACAGCUUUCUGGACCAUAGCUGACGCUGAGACACGAAAGCGUGGGUAGCAAACAGGAUUAGAUACCCUGGUAGUC